rnacentral:lncRNA from 1 species
CGAAUCUCUAAACACCAUCAUGACAUCCUCAAUCAUCCUCCCAACAUGUCUGCUUCUGUACGGAAGGAGGUCCAGCUUUGGUUUGUGUUGACUUUAGCAUACUUCUACGGGUAAUGUUCUUCCUGGGCUCAGGAGUUGCUCAUUCUCUCCAAAAUCUCAUUUUAUGGGGUCAGAAAGGGGCUCUGAAAACCAGAACACCUACUAUUCUAGACAGCUGGGAACCUUGCCUAACGUAAAAGAACAAAAGAAAUGCUACCUUUGUACCCUACAUUCCAACACUUGGUCAGAAGAGCUUGUGUUUCUUUUCAUGCAGUCUGAGACUUCCCUCUUGCUCUGUUUUCAGAUAAACUACAGCUGCUUACAGCCUUCCGCUAUUCCCCAGUACUAAUUAACAAGUGGAGGAAUGAACUGGACCCAUUCCAACUGCCUUUACUUUUUUGUAGAGAACUCAGUCCUGUUUAAAUCACAUUAAUGAAGACAGUGAAUAACUCCAAGAGUCUCCGUAGACAUAGGAAACUUCACCAUGAAACUACCCACUCUCUUCCCUUUUCUUUCCAACCUACAUUAGUUUAAACAACAACAAUAACAACUAAAUUAAGCUAAAAACCCAUCUCCAGAUAGCUGGUGAUCCUGUGGUGAUGGAGUUUCAGUUGUGAGUAUUGUUCACAGCUCUCGUCGGCAGUGUGAACCUGGGAGAGUGGAACCUAAAAAUCAGACAGACUAAAGUUCCGAGCAAUCGCCAACUUCACUCAGAGCAUCAGAAAAUUUAUACU